rnacentral:rRNA from 1 species
AUACGUAGGGGGCGAGCGUUGUCCGGAAUGAUUGGGCGUAAAGGGCGCGUAGGCGGCUUUGCAAGUCAGUAGUGGAAGUCCAUUUUUCAAGGAUGGAAGUGCUACAGAAACUGCGGAGCUUGAGUGCAGGAGAGGUUAUCGGAAUUCCCGGUGUAGCGGUGAAAUGCGUAGAGAUCGGGAGGAACACCAGUGGCGAAGGCGGGUAACUGGACUGCAACUGACGCUGAGGCGCGAAAGUGUGGGGAGCAAACAGGAUUAGAUACCCUGGUAGUCCACACCGUAAACGAUGAAUGCUAGGUGUAGGAGGUAUCGACCCCUUCUGUGCCGCAGUAAACGCAGUAAGCAUUCCGCCUGGGGAGUACGGUUGCAAGAUUAAAACUCAAAGGAAUUGACGGGG